UACGAGUGCCCCAAGCGUUAUCCGGAAUCAUUGGGCGUAAAGGUUGUGUAGGUGGUUAUAUUAGUCUUCUGUUAAAUUCUUCGGCUUAACCGGGGGCAUGCAGAGGAAACGGUAUAACUAGAGGAUGCGAGGGGUCUGCGGAACUCAUAGUGUAGCGGUGAAAUGCGUUGAUAUUAUGGGGAACACCAAAAGCGAAGGCAGCAGACUGGAGCACUCCUGACACUGAAACAAGAAAGCGUGGGUCGCGAAUGGG
rnacentral:rRNA from 1 species